UCUAGCCCGUAUAUGCAGCUCUAAGGAGGCCGGAGACAUCAGAUCCCUCUCGAAUUAAAGUUGCAGGUGUCUAUAAGCUGUGCACUGUAGGUGUUGGGAAUUGGCUCUAGUUUUCUGCAUGAGCAGUCCAUCCAGCCAUUGAGUUGUCUUUCCAGCUCUUGAGAAUCUGAAUGUUAUUAAAGCCUUUUUGUAUUUUUAUACAUCUUUUCCAUUGAGUCUGCUUAAUGUCUUGUGAUUCUCAAUUCUUUUUUAGUUUCAGAAUUUCUUGAAAGCUUGAAGUACUGAAAAGUGUUUCAUGUCUUUGAAUGAC
rnacentral:lncRNA from 1 species